AGACUUUUAGUAUAUAUAAGUAUUUUUAAUUGCAAAUUAAAAGGUUUUGAAGUCUU
rnacentral:tRNA from 1 species